AGGCUUAACACAUGCAAGUCGGAGGGCAGCAUGUAAGUUGCUGACAACUUGAGUGGCGACCGGCGCGACGGGUGAGUAACGCGUACUCCAACCUUCCUAUAGUAGAGGAUAGCCGGCGAAAGUCGGAUUAAUACUCUAUGUUUUCCAAUGCAGACAUCUAAAAUGGAACAAAGGUUUACCGCUAUAGGAUGGGGAUGCGUCUGAUUAGGUAGUCGGCGGGGUAACGGCCCACCGAGCCAUCGAUCAGUAGGGUUCUGAGAGGAAGGUCCCCCACAUUGGAACUGAGACACGGUCCAAACUCCUACGGGAGGCAGCAGUGAGGAAUAUUGGUCAAUGGGCGCGAGCCUGAACCAGCCAAGUAGCGUGCAGGAUGACGGCCCUAUGGGUUGUAAACUGCUUUUAUACAGGGAUAAAGUGGGGAACGUGUUCCCUUUUGUAGGUACUGUAUGAAUAAGGACCGGCUAAUUCCGUGCCAGCAGCUGC
rnacentral:rRNA from 1 species